AGUGAACGCUGGCGGCAGGCCUAACACAUGCAAGUCGAACGGCAGCGGGUCCUUCGGGAUGCCGGCGAGUGGCGGACGGGUGAGGAAUACAUGGGAAUCUGCCCAGUCGUGGGGGAUAACGUAGGGAAACUUACGCUAAUACCGCAUGCGACCUUAGGGUGAAAGCGGCGGACCGCAAGGCGUCGCGCGAUUGGAUGAGCCCAUGUCGGAUUAGCUAGUUGGCGGGGUAAAGGCCCACCAAGGCGACGAUCCGUAGCUGGUCUGAGAGGAUGAUCAGCCACACUGGAACUGGGACACGGUCGAGACGCCUACGGGAGGCAGCAGUGGGGAAUAUUGGAGAAUGGGCGAAAGCCUGAUCCAGCCAUGCCGCGUGAGUGAAGAAGGCCUUCGGGUUGUAAAGCUCUUUUGUCCGGAAAGAAAAGCUCUCGGUUAAUACCCGGGGGUUCUGACGGUACCGGAAGAAUAAGCACCGGCUAACUUCGUGCCAGCCGCCGCGGUAACAC
rnacentral:rRNA from 1 species